rnacentral:rRNA from 1 species
AUUGAACGCUGGCGGCAUGCCUUACACAUGCAAGUCGAACGGCAGCGCGGACUUCGGUCUGGCGGCGAGUGGCGAACGGGUGAGUAAUGCAUCGGAACGUACCUUUCAGUGGGGGAUAACGUAGCGAAAGUUACGCUAAUACCGCAUAUUCUGUGAGCAGGAAAGCAGGGGAUCGCAAGACCUUGCGCUGAUGUAGCGGCCGAUGUCAGAUUAGCUAGUUGGUGAGGUAAAGGCUCACCAAGUCGACGAGCUGUAGCGGGUCUGAGAGGAUGAUCCGCCACACUGGGACUGAGACACGGCCCAGACGCCUACGGGAGGCAGCAGUGGGGAAUUUUGGACAAUGGGGGCAACCCUGAUCCAGCCAUGCCGCGUGAGUGAAGAAGGCCUUCGGUUUGUAAAGCUCUUUCGACCGGGAAGAAAUCGCAUGGGUUAAUACCCUGUGUGGAUGACGGUACCGGAAUAAGAAGCACCGGCUAACUACGUGCCAGCAGCCGCGGUAAAAC